rnacentral:precursor_RNA from 1 species
UGCUGGAGCAAGACUGUCUCCUGCUGUGACCCUCAAGAUGGAAGCAGUUUCUGUUGUCUGAAAGGAAAGAAAGUGCUUCCUUUUUGAGGGUUACUGUUUGAGAAAAGCAACCUUGAGGUUG